rnacentral:rRNA from 1 species
GGAUCCAGACUUGAUUAUGGCUCAGGACGAACGCUGGCGGCGCGCCUAACACAUGCAAGUCGAGCGGGAAGCUUUUUAAGGAUUCUUCGGAUGAAUUAAAAAGUGGAGAGCGGCGGACGGGUGAGUAACGCGUGAGAAACCUGCCCUAUACAGGGGGAUAGCCAUUGGAAACGAUGAUUAAUACCCCAUAUGACCACAGUAUCGCAUGAUACAGCGGUGAAAACUCCGGUGGUAUAGGAUGGUCUCGCGUCUGAUUAGCUAGUUGGUGGGGUAACGGCCUACCAAGGCGACGAUCAGUAGCCGGCCUGAGAGGGUGACCGGCCACACUGGAACUGAGACACGGUCCAGACUCCUACGGGAGGCAGCAGUGGGGAAUAUUGCACAAUGGGCGAAAGCCUGAUGCAGCGACGCCGCGUGAACGAUGAAGGCUUUCGAGUCGUAAAGUUCUGUUCUUGGGGAAGAUAACGACGGUACCCAAGGAGAAAGCACCGGCUAAAUACGUGCCAGCAGCCGCGGUAAU